UUGUGCUCUCUGUAAGGCUGCAAAUACCUAUUAAUCUAGGAGCCUUUGGAAGUUCAUCAAAAUGAUAUUUUUCUUCUGAGAACAUCAUAAACAGUUGAAAAUACAUCCAUAAUUUGCAAUGGGUAUUUUAGGCUCUAAGCCUCCUCUGACACACCAGCGAGGCAGCAGAGAAAUCUCCACCCCGAGCCCUGGGAAACUUCAGAGUCCAGGGAUUUGACAAAUAUUUGCUUUAUAACAACAAACAAGGGUGUGGGGCUUUGGGAAGAAUUGGGGAUUUUUAAAUCAGACUGCAGGAAGAGUGUCUGGUGCAGCUGUGUGCAGAGAACCUGGAUUAAAGAGCUCCAAUGGCCCUGGAGAACAAAUUUCCUUGGACCCUGCUGGUUUAAACCACCUCAAACCCCAGGAGUCCUGGAUCAUCCUGGUGUGCCACCAUUCCCUUGGUGGCACCACAAAGAGGAGCAGUGUCAGCAGGGUAGUGUGGCCAUCCAGCCCCUAAACUCA